GUCCAGUAUUGCUAUUGAGUUUAAAAUCUAGGCAGAAAAAUAUAAAAAAAAUUCUUUGAACAGUAAAGGGAACCAACAAGAAAUCAGUGCAAAUGGAGUAAAAUUAAACUGUAACUUGAUAAGGAUGGAACCUUAUUAUUGCCCUUUCUGU